rnacentral:lncRNA from 1 species
CCAAGUUUCUAACUCCUUUGCAUAAUUUUCAGUAGCACUAUUUGUAGGUUUAACAAAAGUUCCAGAAACAUAUCCCCACAUUCGUUUACCAAUCAGAAAAUUUCUCAUCACAUAACUCCAAUAUGCAUAAUUGGAAGAUCCAUUUAGUUGCACACUAAUGGAUUGCAAAGAAUCAUCUCUUUCAGUUGCCAUAACUAACAAGCACAACAGCAGGGAAAUCGAAAUGCAAAGGGAAAAAGAAACAGAAAACCUGAAAAAUUCGCUCAACGAAAACUGCGAAUCUGAAACUGAGAUCUCCGAUCUGCAAACUGUGGAGGCUGAUCUACCACUGCAAAGAAGGAGAAAAGAUGAUGGAACCCAGAAGCAUGAACAGGGUCUGUAACCCCCCAGCCAACUCACCGCGGAGUUGGAUCCGCGAAAGUUGUGGCCUUAGCAAACCUUGCUCUUGAUACCAUGUUAGAUCAGCUGCAUAGGAAGGAAGAGAGAAGGGAGAGGAGAAGAAGAAGAGAGAAGGUGAGAAAUGCAAUAUGGAAUUAAUGAUAGAGAUAAGACCAAAUGGCGAAUAGAUAGGAAAUUAGGAAAAUACAAAAAGACAAGACUACCCUUUACUAAUAACUAAAAUACAUUUAACAAUUAUUAGCAUGUAUCUCAAUUCCCACCUUUAAUUUCAUUAUACUAGACAAACCUUGUAUGUAUACAUUAAAUGAAAGCUUGGUUGUAUCAUAGAAAAAGGGGACAAAACAUUUCAAAACUUGUGUCUCAUUCUUCUUGGUUCCAAAGGUUGUGUUCGUCAUGUGUUUCAAAUUCACGC